rnacentral:tRNA from 1 species
AACGACAUAUUUUAAUCUGGAAGAAAGACUACGUGCUCUGCAAGCAUGAGGUGGGCUAGGCUCUGUCGUUA